rnacentral:rRNA from 1 species
AUGACGACUACUACUACUCGGGAGGUGCCUACUACUACGUGCAACCCGCUGACGACGACCAGGAGUAGUUUAGGUGGAUCCCAGGCAGGAGGCCUGCGCCACUUUCGAUCUGUAUCUCAGUUUGUGCUAGCCUUCUUAAGGCAAACUUGUUUAACUUAUGUCUGUACUCAGAUAUUGUUGCUUCCGCUGACUCGUCUAUGA